AUGCACUUACAGAUGAUCAUACAAAAUUUUUAUGCCGGUUUGAACUUUGCUUCUAGAAAUCUUUUAGAUUCGUUCGCGGGAGGCACGUUUAUGGAAAUCACGUUAGGAGAUGCUACAGAACUUCUUGAUAAUAUUAUGGCAAAUUAUUCUCAAUGGCACACCGAAAGAUCUUCUAGUAAAAAAGUGCAUGCUAUAGAAGAAAUCAAUGUUUUGAGUGGAAAGAUGGAUGAACUUAUGAAGUUGUUUGCUACUAAAAAUACUCCUCUUGAUCCCAAUGAUAUGACUUUGUCUACUUUGAUUGAUAAUAGUAAUGAAUCCAUGGAUGUGAAUUUUGUUGGUAGGAAUAGUUUUGGAAACAAUGCUUAUAGAGGAAACUUUAAUUCUAGACCGUUCCCUAGUAAUUCCUCUAAUAAUUAUGGAAAUUCCUACAAUAUUCUUAUGGUAAUUUUAAUAAGACGCUCUCUGAUUUUGAGAGUAGCGUGA
rnacentral:rRNA from 1 species